rnacentral:rRNA from 1 species
GACGAACGCUGGCGGCGUGCUUAACACAUGCAAGUCGAACGGAAAGGCCCUGCUUUUGUGGGGUGCUCGAGUGGCGAACGGGUGAGUAGCACGUGAGUAACCUGCCCUUGACUUUGGGAUAACUUCAGGAAACUGGGGCUAAUACCGGAUAGGAGCUCCUGCUGCAUGGUGGGGGUUGGAAAGUUUCGGCGGUUGGGGAUGGACUCGCGGCUUAUCAGCUUGUUGGUGGGGUAGUGGCUUACCAAGGCUUUGACGGGUAGCCGGCCUGAGAGGGUGACCGGCCACAUUGGGACUGAGAUACGGCCCAGACUCCUACGGGAGGCAGCAGUGGGGAAUAUUGCACAAUGGGCGGAAGCCUGAUGCAGCAACGCCGCGUGCGGGAUGACGGCCUUCGGGCUGUAAACCGCUUACGCCUGUGACGAAGCGUGAGUGACGGUAAUGGGUAAAGAAGCACCGGCUAACUACGUGCCAGCAGCCGCGGUGAUACGUAGGGUGCGAGCGUUGUCCGGAUUUAUUGGGCGUAAAGGGCUCGUAGGUGGUUGAUCGCGUCGGAAGUGUAAUCUUGGGGCUUAACCCUGAGCGUGCUUUCGAUACGGGUUGACUUGAGGAAGGUAGGGGAGAAUGGAAUUCCUGGUGGAGCGGUGGAAUGCGCAGAUAUCAGGAGGAACACCAGUGGCGAAGGCGGUUCUCUGGGCCUUUCCUGACGCUGAGGAGCGAAAGCGUGGGGAGCGAACAGGCUUAGAUACCCUGGUAGUCCACGCUGUAAACGGUGGGUACUAGGUGUGGGGUCCAUUCCACGGGUUCCGUGCCGUAGCUAACGCUUUAAGUACCCCGCCUGGGGAGUACGGCCGCAAGGCUAAAACUCAAAGGAAUUGACGGGGCCCCGCACAAGCGGCGGAGCAUGCGGAUUAAUUCGAUGCAACGCGUAGAACCUUACCUGGGUUUGACAUGGAUCGGGAGUGCUCAGAGAUGGGUGUGCCUCUUUUGGGGUCGGUUCACAGGUGGUGCAUGCCUGUCGUCAGCUCGUGUCGUGAGAUGUUGGGUUAAGUCCCGCAACGAGCGCAACCCUUGUUCACUGUUGCCAGCACGUUAUGGUGGGGACUCAGUGGAGACCGCCGGGGUCAACUCGGAGGAAGGUGGGGAUGACGUCAAGUCCUCAUGCCCCUUAUGUCCAGGGCUUCACGCAUGCUACAAUGGCUGGUACAGAGAGUGGCGAGCCUGAGAGGGUGAGCGAAUCUCGGAAAGCCGGUCUCAGUUCGGAUUGGGGUCUGCAACUCGACCUCAUGAAGUCGGAGUCGCUAGUAAUCGCAGAUCAGCAACGCUGCGGUGAAUACGUUCCCGGG